GACAAGAGCAAGAUUCUGUCUCAAAAAUAAAAUUUUAAAAGUUCUGCAAUUCUGCAUAAAGAUAAAUGCUAUUUGUUCCUGGGGGCUGGGGUCACCAGGGAGGCUUCCUGGAGGAGGAGGCAGGGCUGAGGAAUGGAUGGCAGCAGAGAGUAUUUGUGGGUGAGGCUAUGGUGCUGCUGGAGAGGCAGGGUGUGGCAGCUUGGGCUGGGGCCAGCAGUGAGCUUGGAAUUCCCCAGGGCUUUCCAGAAGCCAGAAGGCCGGGGCGGAGUGGGUUGUCCAAGAGCUUGUCUUGUCCUCUUGCCCUGGCCACAGCCGGGAAGCCCUGGGCAGGCGCCCGUGGAUAGCUGGCACGCUCAGCCUUUGGUGGAGAACUGAGAAAGUCUGAAGCAGGAAGGUGGAAAAACAUUUCGUGCUCAGGGAGGAAACGUCUUCACCCCGGUUUACAGAUGCUUAUUUGGAAAAUGAGGAUAACAGUAGGAGAACCUACCACACAGAUUCCUUGGUGGUCCACAGACCCUGGAGUAAGAAUCUCUGCCCUAGGGGAUGACAGGACUGUAAAAGGAAGGGACCUGGGUCCCUGAAUCACACGGGGGAAGUCACCUGCUGAAUCAGAACGCCUCAACAGCUAGCUAGCCAAGAAAUAAACGGAGAGCGUGGCAACCCACAGA
rnacentral:lncRNA from 1 species